rnacentral:rRNA from 1 species
CUCGUAGGUGGCCAACUAAGUCAGACGUGAAAUCCCUCGGCUUAACCGGGGAACUGCGUCUGAUACUGGAUGGCUUGAGUUUGGGAGAGGGACGCGGAAUUCCAGGUGUAGCGGUGAAAUGCGUAGAUAUCUGGAGGAACACCGGUGGCGAAGGCGGCGUCCUGGACCAACACUGACACUGAGGAGCGAAAGCCAGGGGAGGCAAACG